rnacentral:rRNA from 1 species
UACGGGGGGGGCAAGCGUUGUUCGGAAUUACUGGGCGUAAAGGGCUCGUAGGCGGCCAACUAAGUCAGACGUGAAAUCCCUCGGCUUAACCGGGGAACUGCGUCUGAUACUGGAUGGCUAGAGGUUGGGAGAGGGAUGCGGAAUUCCAGGUGUAGCGGUGAAAUGCGUAGAUAUCUGGAGGAACACCGGUGGCGAAGGCGGCAUCCUGGACCGAUACUGACGCUGAGGAGCGAAAGCCAGGGGAGCAAACGGG